rnacentral:lncRNA from 1 species
UUCUUAUGAAUUCACAGUUUAUUGUGUGGCUUUUGCACAUACACACUCAUGCAAAUAUAGUCAACACACACAGGCGGUGAUGAGACGGUGGGGAAGGGACCACAGUGAGCAUGUCAGGAGACCAGCACGCUGACUGACACACUGGCAGGUCCGGGUUUCCUCAGAACAUGGACCAGGGUGGGGGUCGCUGCUCUUCUUCCAUAGCCCAUGGGAAAGAGGCCUCAGAGUUCUUGGGGGCAGAGCUGCAGCAGCUGCUUGGCUAUGGUCAGAGUCUUUGCGGUUUUUAUGGCCCUCUGCAGGCUUGUCUGUAGCCAAGAUCUCAGCUGCCUUCUGGCUUCACUUGCUUGUCUGGUCUAGGGGGUGCCCGUCCACAGCAAAUCCUCUUAUCACCUCAGUCCACCACACAUACGCUUCUCACUCUGAGGGGUCAGCAAUUUCAAUGUGGGCUGAUCCUCUGUCACAAGUGAAUUUAUUUUGAGACAUUUAGGGUCACCAAACACUAAUAUAUAUCAGUAGCUAAGUCAGACAGAAGGCGUGGACGACUUGGGGACACUGUAUUAGUCUGUUUUCACACUGCUAUAAAGAAUGGUCCGAGCCUGAGUAACUUAUAAAGGAAAGUAGUUUAAUUGACUCACAGUUCCACAUGGCUGGAGAGGCCUCAGGAAACUUACAGUCAUGGCGGAGGACGAUGGGGAAGCAGGCACCUUCUUCACAAGGCGGCAGAAGGGAGAGUGAAUGAGGAAUUGCCAAAGCCUUAUAAAACCAUCAGAAGUUGCGAGAACUAUCAUGAGAACAGCAUGAGGAAACCAACCCCACGAUCCAGACAUCUCCCACCACGUUCCCCCCUUGACAUGUGGGGAUUACAAUUUGAGAUGAGAUUUGGGUGAGGACACACAGCCAAACCAUAUCAGACCACCUGCUUGUGAUUUGCACCUGAAGUGGGGGGAGUCUGUGGCACUGAGUCCUUGCCCUGUGGGGUCGGCACUACCUCCGAUUUGUGUCAGAAGUGAAUUGAAUUGGCUGGGCGUGGUGUGAGCCACUGUGCCCAGCCAUGUGAUCUUAUUUAGAAAUGGGUUCUUUGCAGAUAUAAUUACUUAAGAAGAGGUCAUACUGGGUUAGGGUGGGCCCUAAACCGAGUGACCGGUGUCCUUAGAAGGCCAUGUGAAGA